rnacentral:rRNA from 1 species
UACGUAGGUGGCAAGCGUUGUCCGGAGUUAUUGGGCGUAAAGCGCGCGCAGGCGGUGCGGUAAGUCUCUGGUGAAAGCGCUCGGCUUAACUGGGCGAGGGCCGGGGAGACUGCCACGCUGGAGGGGAGCAGAGGCGAGUGGAAUUCCGGGUGUAGCGGUGGAAUGCGUAGAGAUCCGGGAAGAACACCGGUGGCGAAGGCGGUUAGCUGG